GGCUUGUCCAAUGGUAGUGGUUAUCAGAACCGAUGAACAUUGGUGUCACUAAAGGUGGUACACGACUCCACACUGCUAAAUGUGACUGGAUUAAC
rnacentral:sRNA from 1 species